rnacentral:lncRNA from 1 species
CGGCCGAAGUGAAUAUCAGUUUUUCAAAAGUCAAUUAAACCACAUAUUUACCGAAACAAAAGACAGUAAUUGUUUUAUUCCAUAUUCCGAGAGAAAUGUAUGUAAUGGCAAUUAUUGACCAAAACCAAUUGUACAUCAAUCGUUUUUUUACCAAAAUAGUGCAGGUAAAAGCACGCGACGUUAUGCGCGGUGAAUAUCCUUUUUCCGCAGGUGAAUAUGCUUAUUUAUUCAAAAUC